GAGAAGUAGAGGUCCGAGAGACGAAGCAGGAAACCAUCAGAGAUUCAACAUGAAGACCAGUCGCAUCUUUUUCUGCUUCAUUGUAGUCUCUCUGCAGGUUGGGAACAGUGGUUCUUUCAAGGAAAUUAACCAUUACUAUCGGCUACCUGGAGAAGACCUCUCCAUUACAUGCUCUCUCUCACCUGGACCAAGGCGGAUUUUCUGCAGAGAAAACUGUCAAGGAGAAAACGUUCUUAUUAACACAACGUCUAAUAAAGAAACAAGUGGAAGAAACAGCAUUGAAUAUUCUGAAAGAGUUCAUGACAAGUCUUAUAAUUUAACUGUGAGAGUUUCUAAUGUGACCCACUCUGACUCUGGACUGUACAGAUGUGGUCUGAGCGACUCUCCUUCUACAUUCGUAAAAUUCAAAGCUGUUGUUGCAGAAGCUCUGCUGGAUGGAAGCAAAGAUCAUCACCUCUAUAAAGACGCUGGCAGCUCUCUGACAGUCGCCUGUUCCUUUGGUUUCUGGGGAAGAAACAAAUCCUUCUGCAGAGGAGGAUGUGGAGCAGAUGAAGUUCUGGUUCAGACUGAUGGAGUCAGAGCUGAAAGCAGCAGAUACAAGAUGGAAUAUGAAGAACAAAAGUCAGGAACAGUUCUGAUGGUGACCAUCACACAGCUGAUCCAGACUGACUCCGGAUGGUACCAGUGUAAACUGGAUGGAAAUGGUUCGAUAAGUUCAUACAGAGAUUUUCAUGUCACGGUCAGAACUGGUGAGUUUUUACUGGUGUUAAAAUGUCCCUAAUAUUGUAAUGGUGGUAAUGUGUACAUGACCUCAUGUCAUAUCUUAAACCCAUCUGAGUUUUUACUAUGCAGAUUUGUUCAGCACCAAUCUUGAGUCUUGUUUGGUUAUUUUCCAGCAGUCGUCUCAUCAGCCUCCACUCCAACAGCAAGUUUCACUCCUGCAGCAUCUCAGCUCCCUUCCAGUCUCUAUGUUCCUGUGAUCGUUGGUGUGACUCUGGCUGCCAUGGUGGUUCUGGUCUCAGCAGCUCUGCUGGUUUCCUGCAGGAGACGAUCUCUGAGAGGUGAGACACCAACUAACACCAGCACU